GCUUAAAUAAAGCUCUCCAUUUCACUGCUUUACCUUCUGAUGAAACCGUGGUUUUGUUUUCACAGAGAAAUGCGUUAAGGAUACCCCCACACUGCCACACUUUCCCUUCAGAUCUUCACAAGCACAGCACCACAGCCUGCACUCCAUCAGCGGCAACAGCCAUAGACUCUCAGCCACGAACGGCGCCCUCCCUCCCCUGUGAACUGAGCAGAAUACCGCCACUCCCACAAACUGCAAUGAACCCUGCAUGCUGACAGUGAGUCUCAGAUGAGACCCUAAGGAACCAGUGGUGACAACAACAUGCAAGCAUCGCUGGUGGUACUCCUAGAUUCGGAAGUGGGGCUACUAGGGGUCUCAAUGGUCAUCAAAAUCAGUAGAUGAUUAUCAUUUCCUGCCUUGGUUACAGAAUCAGAUGGAAAAAAGUAUGGUCGCUAUUUUUUGUCAUUUCAUCUUUACCACAGAAUGCAACUUAUGAAAAUCAGUUAACGAUUUAAUGAAGGCUUCAGAGAUUACUAAUGUUUUGUAAGUGAACAUCUGGAUAAAAAUGUUCUAGACCUGGAAAAUAAUACUGAAACAUGAGUUGUUCCCUUUGAAUGUUUUAAAAUCUCAAGAGCCACCAGCUAUAGAAGUUAAUAGAUGUGCUGUUAAAAGACUGUUUUCAUUGCAAUACAAAAUACAGUAAAAGAAGAAUUUCUUAUGUUUAGUAUUAGUAAAUCAUAUUUUGGGAUUACUUUUUGUAAAGGGAAAUUGUUUAAUUGUGCAUACUGUACUGUAAAAACUGUACUCAAUUUCACCAGAGUUCUGCCAUAAGUAUGUUAUACAGGCAUAAGAACUAUUAUCCAGAAUGUUUGUUUAUCAGAUAAAAAAACAAUUCUGAAACUCAGGGAACAUUGUCUGAAAUAUAAUGUACACAUGAAAACACAUUGCUUAUGAUGGCACUGAGUAUGUUGGUGCAACCUCUAUGUGUGCAUCUUUUGCCAGUAUUGCAUCUCUGACUUUAUAAAAAUGCCACUGCAAGUUUUUCCCAAUGUACAUCCAUGCAUGUAUCUGCAAGUACAAGUCUAAAACACCUACUUUGCAUGUCUUUAAAUGCUCAGAUACAGCAAAUGGUAUCUUUAGAUGUAACUAGUGGCGAUUGCUGCAGUGCACAUCACACAUUGCAUUUUGGGGGGCGGCUAACACAUGCAACAUUACAUGUAUUUUUAUAUGUAAUAUAUAUCCUGGCUUCCUUACCUCAGGGAUCAGCACUACUGUGCGUUUGACUGCUGCUGCACCAGGAACAAAGCAUUCAGCUUUGCUUCUACUUCCUGUAUUAGCAUGCCCCCCAAAUUCCAUUGGCUAGUUUCACAGGAGUCUGGGGCAGGAUUAUAGAGGAAGGACAAGUUGAGAGUAGUGUCUCGGGUGCUCAGUGAAACUCAACGGCCCUGCUGAUCCCCAGGGUAAGCAGUCAUCACAUGUAUUACAUACAACAUUAUAUGCAUGCCCUCCAUGUCAGAGUAUGGGCUUCAAUGUGAACGAUUAUGCAUCUGACUCCAGCAAUACGCCUGCAACAAUCCUAUAACACACCCAAAAGAUAGACCCUCUUCCUGCAUCUGCAGAGCCAAAUCCCAGGACCUCAUUAAUAUUUUCAGGACAUUUCUGAGAAAGUGUGUCAAAUGCAACUACGAUUCUGUGUGCACAGACUCUGUGGAUGCUGUGCAGUGAAACUCAGGCACCUGCACAAAACAAACAAAAUCGCUCAACUGCAUCUGACAUUGACAUUGUGUCCAUCUCAGAAUCAGGCCAAAUAUGUUCCUCUACAUGACCUUUAAUAGAAAUGCUCAUCUCAGUGUCUGUAUUGCAGACCCUCAGUAAUCACUUCUGUUUAUAUGAGAUUUUCAA